UACAGAGGUCCCGAGCGUUGUUCGGAUUUAUUGGGCGUAAAGGGUGCGUAGGUGGCAAAGUAAGUUGGAUGUGAAAUCCUGGGGCUCAACCUCAGAAUUGCAUUCAAUACUGCUUAGCUAGAGAGCUGUAGAGGAGACUGGAAUUUACGGUGUAGCAGUGAAAUGCGUAGAUAUCGUAAGGAACGCCAGUGGCGAAAGCGAGUCUCUGGACAGCAACUGACGCUGAGGCACGAAGGCCAGGGGAGCAAACGGG
rnacentral:rRNA from 1 species